UACGUAGGGGGCUAGCGUUGUCCGGAAUCAUUGGGCGUAAAGCGCGCGUAGGCGGCCAGAUAAGUCCGGUGUGAAAGUCAAAGGCUCAACCUUUGAAUGCCGCUGGAAACUGUCUGGCUUGAGUCCGGAAGGGGCGAGUGGAAUUCCUGGUGUAGCGGUGAAAUGCGCAGAUAUCAGGAAGAACAUCGGUGGCGAAGGCGCUCUGCUGGACCAUAACUGACACUCAGGGACGAAAGCUAGGGGAGCGAAUGGG
rnacentral:rRNA from 1 species